CGUCCGCCGUCCGCUGUCCGCCGGGGAAUGUCCCUCCCCGGAGGGAGGCGCUCCCCCGCCCGCGCCCGAUUGUGAGAGAACAAGAGUGGAAGCAGGAAGACGAGUUAGGAGGCUACUGCAAGAAUCCAGGAAAGAAAUCAUAGUUCUUUGGCCCAAGAUGGAGAGAGAAGUGAAUGGUCUCGGUAUUUGUUUUAGAGGCAGAAUCUGUAAGGCUGUGUAGAAUGGAAUAAAAAUGGGGAAUGAGUGAAAGAGAACAACAGGGCUACAAUAAUACCUACUCUUCAUUGAGUACAUAGUACAUGUCAGGAACUGUUCUAAGUGCUUUAUAAAUAUUAAGCCAUUCAAUUGUCAUUAAAAUCCUAAAAGGUAGGUGCUAUUAUUAUCCCUUCAACGUCUUAGGAUUUGAAGCUCCAGAUCCUAAGUAAUUUGCUCAAGUCAUGUAGUUGGUAAGUGGCAGAGCUGGGAUUUGGACCAUACAGGCAGCCUGGCCCCUCCAUUGGUGCCACAAAGUCUGAAUUUCUUCAGCUACAUCAAGUUUUUGUGGUACCAUACAUCCUCCUUUCUCCUGUCAUUUUUUUUCUUCUUCUUCUUUCUUCCUACUUUCUUCUUCCUUCUCCUCCUCCUCCUCUUCUGCCUGGCUCAAUUACAUUAAACUUUGCUUGUUCUUACAGGCCAAUUCAAUCCACAGCAACCCUGUGCUCACCUCUGAAAUUUGCUGUGUAAAGUACUUCAUUGUUACGCGCAGGUCUUUCCCACUAAACUUUGAAGAGUUAAACAGAAGAGGAAUAAUUUAAGAGCAAGCAUUUUGAGAUUUCAAAACAAUAAUUGAGAUAUUCUAUUUUCAGAAGUACAAAUCUGCAGAGCAAUCAGAUUCAAGGAUUUGGAUGACUAAAGUAGAUGAUCAGUCAUAAAGAGUAUGCGAGCCAGUGGAUUGACAUUCUUGGAUCCGGUCUAAACAUUCUGAUGAGCAGUUCCGCAGCAGAUAUGUCAGCAUGACUUCUUUUUACAUGAUUUUAUUUGGAUUGCCUUCCAGUCCAGUUAGUGAGGGUCUUCCUAAAGUAUCCCUUGGUUCUGAGGAACCACAACCCACGAGCCAGCAGUGUAAAGGAAACAAGAUUUAUUUUAAGACGUUAUGCAGAACUCAACCGAGGAAAGAUUCCCAGGACUGUGUUAAGCAGAGCAAUUAUAAUAGUUUAGAGAGUAUGAGCAAGAAACAACCCACAUGUAAUAAAAUAUGAAGAAAAAGAGGGCACCUGGAACAUGCCUGUGCUGGCUUUUCUGCAGUGAGAUGGAGACCAUUCAUCAGCCUCUGAGCCUGCAGCCUCCCCUCAGUGCCUGGCGUGGGCGGCCCUGCGGUCUGUGAGUGGGAUGCGAGCUUAUCCAUAAAGUAGGGACGUGAGCAUGAGAAGAAAAGGACAGAUCUGAAUGGAAGAACAACGGGGAAGAGAGAACUCUGGGCAACAAGACGGGAGGUGUGGAGUGAUGGAGAUGGCAGCAUAGUACCUCCCACCCCCACCCGUGUUUGCUCGGCCUCUUGAAGAUGAUUGCUUGUAUUUCCGCCUCAGAGCUUCCCAUUAACUUCCCUGAUAUGAAGUGAAAAGAAAAGACUGCGGGAGCUGAGCAGAGAGCGUAAUAAACACAGCGGGUGCCCGUGUUCCGGCCCCGCAGGCUCACGCCUGUGGAAUGUGUCAGAUUUGAAACUGGCACGUGGAGCCAGCGCCAGGCGUGCCCCCGCCCCCCUGCACAGCAGAACAUCUGAUGAAACACAAGGGGAAUUGUACUGCUCUCUUUCAGCCUGUUCUCUGCUGACACAAACCAUGCUCUGAUAUCAAAUGGAAACGAGCGGAAUUAGCAUGGGAAGGGCUGUUCUCACUGCCUGGUUUGUAUUCUCAGUAUCCCCGCGUUUCCUGGUCCUUUGUCAACUCAUUUUCUUUUAAUACCCAAAUGUAAUAGCCUGCAUCCUCGCUCUGAGUGACUGAGAAAACCAGUUCCCUCCAGAUAUUUCUAAAGAGGUUGCCAAGCACUUACAUGCCCUAAGUGUUGCUUCUCAUGUACCCCCAGCCUCCCACCCCGUGGCACCUUCCCCGGUUCUGCCUAUAGCUGUCUCCUCACUCUUUCUCAUUCUACUCCUCCCUCUGCUCUGUUCCAACCCCAGUGUGAACACUGGCCCUUCCUCUAUUCUCCCCACUUAAAUCCCUAACUGAGCUGGUGUGUGUGGC